rnacentral:rRNA from 1 species
GGUUAAGCGACUAAGCGUACACGGUGGAUGCCCCGGCAGUCAGAGGCGAUGAAGGACGUGCUAAUCUGCGAUAAGCGUCGGUAAGGUGAUAUGAACCGUUAUAACCGGCGAUUUCCGAAUGGGGAAACCCAGUGUGUUUCGACACACUAUCAUUAACUGAAUCCAUAGGUUAAUGAGGCGAACCGGGGAACUGAAACAUCUAAGUACCCCGAGGAAAAGAAAUCAACCGAGAUUCCCCCAGUAGCGGCGAGCGAACGGGGAGCAGCCCAGAGCCUGAAUCAGUGUGUGUGUUAGUGGAAGCGUCUGGAAAGGCGCGCGAUACAGGGUGACAGCCCCGUACACAAAAAUGCACAUGCUGUGAGCUCGAUGAGUAGGGCGGGACACGUGGUAUCCUGUCUGAAUAUGGGGGGACCAUCCUCCAAGGCUAAAUACUCCUGACUGACCGAUAGUGAACCAGUACCGUGAGGGAAAGGCGAAAAGAACCCCGGCGAGGGGAGUGAAAAAGAACCUGAAACCGUGUACGUACAAGCAGUGGGAGCACGCUUCGGCGUGUGACUGCGUACCUUUUGUAUAAUGGGUCAGCGACUUAUAUUCUGUAGCAAGGUUAACCGAAUAGGGGAGCCGAAGGGAAACCGAGUCUUAACUGGGCGUUAAGUUGCAGGGUAUAGACCCGAAACCCGGUGAUCUAGCCAUGGGCAGGUUGAAGGUUGGGUAACACUAACUGGAGGACCGAACCGACUAAUGUUGAAAAAUUAGCGGAUGACUUGUGGCUGGGGGUGAAAGGCCAAUCAAACCGGGAGAUAGCUGGUUCUCCCCGAAAGCUAUUUAGGUAGCGCCUCGUGAAUUCAUCUCCGGGGGUAGAGCACUGUUUCGGCAAGGGGGUCAUCCCGACUUACCAACCCGAUGCAAACUGCGAAUACCGGAGAAUGUUAUCACGGGAGACACACGGCGGGUGCUAACGUCCGUCGUGAAGAGGGAAACAACCCAGACCGCCAGCUAAGGUCCCAAAGUCAUGGUUAAGUGGGAAACGAUGUGGGAAGGCCCAGACAGCCAGGAUGUUGGCUUAGAAGCAGCCAUCAUUUAAAGAAAGCGUAAUAGCUCACUGGUCGAGUCGGCCUGCGCGGAAGAUGUAACGGGGCUAAACCAUGCACCGAAGCUGCGGCAGCGACACUAUGUGUUGUUGGGUAGGGGAGCGUUCUGUAAGCCUGUGAAGGUGUGCUGUGAGGCAUGCUGGAGGUAUCAGAAGUGCGAAUGCUGACAUAAGUAACGAUAAAGCGGGUGAAAAGCCCGCUCGCCGGAAGACCAAGGGUUCCUGUCCAACGUUAAUCGGGGCAGGGUGAGUCGACCCCUAAGGCGAGGCCGAAAGGCGUAGUCGAUGGGAAACAGGUUAAUAUUCCUGUACUUGGUGUUACUGCGAAGGGGGGACGGAGAAGGCUAUGUUGGCCGGGCGACGGUUGUCCCGGUUUAAGCGUGUAGGCUGGUUUUCCAGGCAAAUCCGGAAAAUCAAGGCUGAGGCGUGAUGACGAGGCACUACGGUGCUGAAGCAACAAAUGCCCUGCUUCCAGGAAAAGCCUCUAAGCAUCAGGUAACAUCAAAUCGUACCCCAAACCGACACAGGUGGUCAGGUAGAGAAUACCAAGGCGCUUGAGAGAACUCGGGUGAAGGAACUAGGCAAAAUGGUGCCGUAACUUCGGGAGAAGGCACGCUGAUAUGUAGGUGAAGUCCCUCGCGGAUGGAGCUGAAAUCAGUCGAAGAUACCAGCUGGCUGCAACUGUUUAUUAAAAACACAGCACUGUGCAAACACGAAAGUGGACGUAUACGGUGUGACGCCUGCCCGGUGCCGGAAGGUUAAUUGAUGGGGUUAGCGCAAGCGAAGCUCUUGAUCGAAGCCCCGGUAAACGGCGGCCGUAACUAUAACGGUCCUAAGGUAGCGAAAUUCCUUGUCGGGUAAGUUCCGACCUGCACGAAUGGCGUAAUGAUGGCCAGGCUGUCUCCACCCGAGACUCAGUGAAAUUGAACUCGCUGUGAAGAUGCAGUGUACCCGCGGCAAGACGGAAAGACCCCGUGAACCUUUACUAUAGCUUGACACUGAACAUUGAGCCUUGAUGUGUAGGAUAGGUGGGAGGCUUAGAAGUGUGGACGCCAGUCUGCAUGGAGCCGACCUUGAAAUACCACCCUUUAAUGUUUGAUGUUCUAACGUGGACCCGUGAUCCGGGUUGCGGACAGUGUCUGGUGGGUAGUUUGACUGGGGCGGUCUCCUCCUAAAGAGUAACGGAGGAGCACGAAGGUUGGCUAAUCCUGGUCGGACAUCAGGAGGUUAGUGCAAUGGCAUAAGCCAGCUUGACUGCGAGCGUGACGGCGCGAGCAGGUGCGAAAGCAGGUCAUAGUGAUCCGGUGGUUCUGAAUGGAAGGGCCAUCGCUCAACGGAUAAAAGGUACUCCGGGGAUAACAGGCUGAUACCGCCCAAGAGUUCAUAUCGACGGCGGUGUUUGGCACCUCGAUGUCGGCUCAUCACAUCCUGGGGCUGAAGUAGGUCCCAAGGGUAUGGCUGUUCGCCAUUUAAAGUGGUACGCGAGCUGGGUUUAGAACGUCGUGAGACAGUUCGGUCCCUAUCUGCCGUGGGCGCUGGAGAACUGAGGGGGGCUGCUCCUAGUACGAGAGGACCGGAGUGGACGCAUCACUGGUGUUCGGGUUGUCAUGCCAAUGGCACUGCCCGGUAGCUAAAUGCGGAAGAGAUAAGUGCUGAAAGCAUCUAAGCACGAAACUUGCCCCGAGAUGAGUUCUCCCUGACCCUUUAAGGGUCCUGAAGGAACGUUGAAGACGACGACGUUGAUAGGCCGGGUGUGUAAGCGCAGCGAUGCGUUGAGCUAACCGGUACUAAUGAACCGUGAGGCUUAACCUU